rnacentral:rRNA from 1 species
UACGGAGGGGGCUAGCGUUGUUCGGAAUUACUGGGCGUAAAGCGCACGUAGGCGGCUUUGCAAGUUAGAGGUGAAAGCCCGGGGCUCAACUCCGGAAUUGCCUUUAAAACUGCAUCGCUAGAAUUGUGGAGAGGUAAGUGGAAUUCCGAGUGUAGAGGUGAAAUUCGUAGAUAUUGGGAAGAACACCGGUGGCGAAGGCGGCUCACUGGCCCGUAACUGACGCUGAGGAGCGAAAGCAUGGGGAGCGAACGAGG